rnacentral:rRNA from 1 species
UACAGAGGGUGCGAGCGUUAAUCGGAAUUACUGGGCGUAAAGCGCACGUAGGCGGCUUGGUAUGUCGGGUGUGAAAUCCCCGGGCUCAACCUGGGAACUGCAUCCGAAACUGCUGAGCUUGAGUACGAAAGAGGAUCGCGGAAUUCCCGGUGUAGAGGUGAAAUUCGUAGAUAUCGGGAGGAACACCAGUGGCGAAGGCGGCGAUCUGGGUCGAUACUGACGCUGAGGUGCGAAAGCGUGGGGAGCAAACAGG